GCUCAGAAGGAACGCUGGCAGCGUGCAUAACACAUGCAAGUCGAACGGUAGUAGUAUCUUCGGAUACUAUGAGAGUGGCGAACGGGUGAGUAACACGUAAGAAUCUACCUUUAGGACGGGGAUAACUUCUGGAAACGGAUGCUAAUACCCGAUAUGCUGUGGAGUGAAAUGAAUUUCGCCUAAAGAUGAUCUUGCGUCUGAUUAGCUAGAUAGGGUGGUAAUGGCGCCCUAUGGCGACGAUCAGUAGCUGGUCUGAGAGGAUGGACAGCCACAUUGGGACUGAGACACGGCCCAAACUCCUACGGGAGGCAGCAGUGGGGAAUUUUCCGCAAUGGGCGAAAGCCUGACGGAGCGACGCUGCGUGAAGGAUGACGGCCUGAGGGUUGUAAACUUCUUUUCUCGAAGAAGAAUCAAUGACGGUAUUCGAGGAAUAAGCAUCGGCUAACUCUGUGCCAGCAGCCGCGGUAAGACAGAGGAUGCAAGUGUUAUUCGGAUUGAUUGGGCGUAAAGCGUCUGUAGGCGGUUUAGAAAGUCUUUUGUGAAAUACUUCAGCUCAACUGGAGCUCCGCAAAAGAAACUUCUAGACUUGAGGGAAGUAGAGGUACAGGGAAUUUCCGGUGGAGCGGUGAAAUGCGUAGAUAUCGGAAGGAACACCAAUAUGGCGAAGGCACUGUACUGGGCUUUUCCUGACGCUCAGAGACGAAAGCUGAAGGAGUGAUUAGGAUUAGAUACCCUAGUAAUUUCAGCCGUAAACGAUGAAAACUCACUGUCGAGCCAAUAUAUGGAGCGGUGGUCAAGCUAACGCGUGAAGUUUUCCGCCUGGGGAUUACGCAUGCAAAUGUGAAACUCAAAGGAAUUGACGGGGACCCGCACAAGCGGUGGAGUAUGUGGUUUAAUUCGAUGCAACGCGAAAAACCUUACCAGGGUUUGAAAUAAUUUCAAAACUUCUCGAAAGAGAAGCCUCCUUCGGGAUGGAAUUACAGGUGGUGCAUGGCUGUCGUCAGCUCGUGUUGUGAAAUGUCAA
rnacentral:rRNA from 1 species